rnacentral:rRNA from 1 species
AUUGAACGCUGGCGGAAUGCUUUACACAUGCAAGUCGAACGGCAGCACGGACUUCGGUCUGGUGGCGAGUGGCGAACGGGUGAGUAAUGUAUCGGAACGUGCCCAGUCGUGGGGGAUAACGUAGUGAAAAUUACGCUAAUACCGCAUACGAUCUAUGGAUGAAAGCGGGGGAUCGCAGGACCUAGCGCGAUUGGAGCGGCGGAUAGCAGAUUAGGUAGUUGGUGGGGUAAAGGCCCACCAAGCCAACGAUCUGUAGCUGGUCUGCGAGGACGACCAGCCACACUGGAACUGAGACACGGUCCAGACUCCUACGGGAGGCAGCAGUGGGGAAUUGUGGACAAUGGGCGAAAGCCUGAUCCAGCCAUUCCGCGUGCAGGAUGAAGGCCCUCGGGUUGUAAACUGCUUUUGUACAGAACGAAAAGGUUUCUACUAAUACUAGGAGCUCAUGACGGUACUGUAAGAAUAAGCACCGGCUAACUACGUGCCAGCAGCCGCCGUAA